rnacentral:tRNA from 1 species
GGUCCGCUAGGCAAACUGGCAAAGCCGGCAGAUUUAGGUUCUGUUGCUUCCGAGUUCGACUCUCGGGCGGACCAC